rnacentral:RNase_P_RNA from 1 species
UAAUUAUGGUCGGCAGUCGCUCUUUUUUGUAUUUUUGUAUAAAAAAGAGAGGAAAGUCCGGGCACCAGAGGGCACCGUAAUGGCUAACAGCCAUCCAAUAUAAAAGGAUCUUAGCUUGCAAAAACAAGCUUAAGAAAUCACUUAUAUUGAGGAAUAGUGCAGCAGAAAGGAUGUACAGAGUCUGAAGCUAUUGCAAAAUACUCAAGGCUGCUGUAGUGAAAUCAGGUAAACUCUACGGGGUGCAAGGCCAAAUAAGUCAUGUGGUGCUUUUGAUUUUUUUGAAAUUCAUUUUUAAAAAAUUUUAAAGCGCGUUUUCCGGCCCGGAGAACUUAGCAAUGACACAUGAUGGGUAGGCUGCAUUGACUCAAGUGGGUAACCCUUGUAGCAAGAUAAAUGACUGCCCUUUUUAUUUAUUUUCAAUUUUGAAAAUUUUAAUAAAAAGACAGAACCCGGCUUAGGACCAUCAUUUUUUU